rnacentral:lncRNA from 12 species
UUUAAUGUUACCCCUAAAAAUGCUCCUGCUGGAGAUGGCUCCUCAUGUUCCCUCUUCUGGGACAGGCUGGGGAAGCAGAGGAGGGAAGGAUCCUCCACCACUCCAUGUGCAGGGGCCAUGCUCAUGCUGCCACCACAAAGUUGCAUCCCUGGUCAGAGGCUCCUGCUCCAUAAAUGUUUCAGGAAGCAGCGUGGGGGUCCCAAGGCUCUCCUGGGGUGGGUCAUUAGUGCAGGAUGAGGAAGCAUCGGACAGACAGCAGAGGAGGAGGGGAAAAAAAAAACUGCAAUGAAAACCAAGCAAAAGCUGCCAAAGCCACAAGGUCAGGGAUGAAAUAUUCAUGGAGCCAUCCGUGCUGGAAGACAGGUGUGGAGGUCCUGGGGAGGCUACAGAAAUCCCUCUCUGGCUUCCUUCUCUCUCAUCAUCAGUGCUCGGCCUGCAAAGUCUGGGGCAGUGGUUAAAGAUGUAUGAGCCCAGGUGUGCAACAGCUGGACACAUCUGGCCCCACAUCCCCCUGGUGCUCCUCUCCUGUGCUCUGUAAAAGGUGGGUGGUGGGAUUGGGAGGGGUGGCCACUGUGUGGGCUGGGAAUCACAAGGAGAAGUGGAAUUUGGGAUGGAGGUGGUUGGAUGGGAGGGAUGGAGGUGUUUGGAUGGGAGGGAUGGAAGUGGUUGGGUGGGAGGGAUGAGCUUUGGGGUGGAGAUGAUUGGGAGGGACUGAUGGACUUUGGGAUGGAGAUGGUUGGGAGGGAGGAAUAGACUUUGGGAUUGAGGUGGUUGGGUGGGAGGGAUGGACUUUGGGAAGGAGAUGGUUGGAUGGGAGGGAUGGGCAGUGGGAUGGAGGUGGUUGGAUGGGAAGGAUGGGAUGGAGGUGGUUGGAUGGGAGGGAUGGGAUGGAGGUGGCUGGAUGGGAAGGAUGGAGCCCCAGAUGGAGGUUUUCCCCUGCUUUCCCUUUUUGGGAAAGUUGUGUGUCCUGUUUGGCCCCUCCAUGCCCUGUCAGAACAGCUGCACCAGCAUUCCCAAACCCCAUCUCCAGCUGGGAACUCAGCCCCAUGCCCAUGGACAUCAAUUCCUGGUCACUGCACCUCCUGGAGCGGUGACCGACCAUCCUGGAGAUGAAAUUCCUGAGCCAGCAUUGAACCAACUUUUCCUAGAAGUACCACCC